UUAAAUUUUCACUCAAAGCCGCCAGGAGCUGGGUCUUUAAAAUAAGCUCCGUCUCGUUACAGAGUGAAAGUAGCAGUUCCUCCUGAAGGUCAGAGAUUGCAGCAUCUGAGGGCCUCUUCAAAAGAAGACGUAGUUGAUGAAGGCGUUCUGGAGCAGGACCAGAAAGACCACGACCAAGCAGCCUUGAGAUCUUAGGCAGCGUCUCCCUCAGACCAAAGAACUACAGACUCUUCACAACCUGCUCAAACUCUUGGUACAGGACCUCACCACACGGGUCAAGAAGGUUUCCGUCUCAUUUCUACUCUGAAGCUCACCUUCUCCUGCUCAAACUGCUGACAAAUGUUUCUGCUGCUCUAAAGUCUGGUCUCCAGAACUUCCUAAAAACUCUCAAAGUCUCUUCUGCUGCAGGUUGCUUUGUAGAACUGUUCCAGAAAACCUCACUAAACCACAUGGAGGGGCCUCAAGAUAGUCGUCCAAAUGAAACCAUACAAAAACCAAACUAGCACAACCCAAACGCUAAAGUCUCCUGCAGCCUACCAGAGAACCUCUGAGAACAGAGAAUCAGGACAGGAACUCUUACCUUCUGGACAACCAACGUUGGUUCACAAACAAGAAUACAGAAUGUGUCUGACCAAAAACCUCUAAAGACUCACUACAGCCAAGAUAAAGACACAGCUGCACCAAAUCCACUAAUCACUGCACACAUUAGCACCAUGUGCUAACUGUGGCUAAAGAACCACAUUUACCAAGACAACUAUCCAGUACAAAGCCCUAAAACACACCAAGAAACACAUUAAAGACGAUUUUACUGCUGGAAGCUGCAAGCCAACGCCUAAAGAACAAACUAAAGCAAUGGAGCCAAACCCGGUUCAGUGGUGAAGAGAAGCAGAGGAAAUGUUUGUCUGCAGCUAAAUAAAGCAGGAAGACACUGAGCUGCUCAGGUGUUCCUGAUAACACCAAGCUGCUCAGGUGUUCCUGAUAACACCAAGCAGCCACCUGGACAGCCAAUAGGAACACAGCUUACUGGAAGUCCAGAGGGCUGGGUUAGUGAAGGAAAUUUAGUUUAAAGUUGAAGCAGAAAGUUAACAAAGAAAGUUGAAAACCACCUUCUGAUACCUGAAAUCUCUGAGUUUUCACACAAAGAACACCUGAACAUGUCAAACUGGUUCCAUAGUAGAACCAUCAUUGUAAAAACGUCAUAGUAUGGUGUGUUGCUCAAAAAACAUUACGACCCGGCUGUCUAGGGUCACCGAGGAGCAACACAAAAACAGGACAAACGCUGGUUUCCAGGGGGUUAGGAGGAUAUUUAUUUGAAAGAGGAAGUUUACAACAACACAACAUGUGAGCAGAAAAAUCACAAAGUCUGUCUUUAGUUCAGCUGAAAAUAUUAGUUUUUGUCUUUUUUAUUGACCAAACUUUUCAGGAAGUAGAUGAAGAAUAAUUAAAGCUCUCAUGUAGAAGUCCAACUUAUUUUGGAUCCUUGUGGAGAGUUUAAUCUUAGAGUUUGUAAAGCUGUUGAGUUUUUAGAGUCACAUGGAUUGUUUUGACAUUUAAUAACCGAGUCCUGAAAUAAAAUUACAGUUGUG